GUAAGGUGGAGCUAAUCCCUUAAAGCUACUCUCAGUUCGGAUUGUAGGCUGAAACUCGCCUACAUGAAGCUGGCGUUACUAGUAAUCGCAGAUCAGAAUGCUGCGGGGAAUGCGUUCCCGGGUCUUGUACACACCGCCCGUCACACCACGGGAGUUGGAGACGCCCGAAGCCGAUUAUCUAACCUUUUGGAAGAAGUCGUCGAAGGUGGAAUCAAUAACUGGGGUGAAGUCGUAACAAGGUAGCCGUAUCGGAAGGUGCGGCUGGAUCACCUCCUUUCUAAGGAGA
rnacentral:rRNA from 1 species